rnacentral:rRNA from 1 species
CUAAGCGGGAAGCCCCUCCCAAGAUUAGAUCUCCCUGGGAUCUUGAAUCCCCUUAAGGGCCCUAGAAGACUACUAGGUUGAUAGGCAUGGUGUGGAAGUGCAGUAAUGCAUGAAGCUGACCAGUACUAAUUGACCGUGNNACGAGAGGACCGGAGUGAACGAACCACUGGUGUUCCGGUUGUGAUGCCAAUUGCAUUGCCGGGUAGCUAUGUUCGGACAGGAUAACCGCUGAAAGCAUCUAAGCGGGAAGCCCCUCCCAAGAUGAGAUCUCCCUGGGACCUUGAGUCCCCUGAAGGGCCCUAGAAGACCACUAGGUUGAUAGGCUGGGUGUGGAAGUUCAGUAAUGAAUGAAGCUAACCAGUACUAAUUGCCCGUGCGGCUUGACCAUAUAACACCCAA